rnacentral:rRNA from 1 species
AUGCCGUCGCCGUCGAUAGUGCGCGUGCUGUCGAAGCGGACGGUGGCCCCGCCGCCGCGCCCGCGGGAGCGCAUCCCGCUCACCUGCUGGGACGCUGCCAUGCUCUCAUCCAACUACAUCCAGAAGGGCCUCCUCUUCCACAAGCCCGCCUCCUCGGCGCUGCAAGUCGUCGACCACCUCGCCACGGCCCUCGGCGACGCGCUUCUCCACUACUACCCCGUGGCCGGCCGCUUCGCCACCGAGCAGCACAGGGACGAGCGCACCGGCGCUGUCGUGGGCUGCUCCGUCCACGUCGACUGCGACGGCCAGGGCGUCGAGGUCCUGCACGCGGUGGCCGAAGGGGUGACCAUGGCGGACGUGGCCCCGCCCGACGCCGACGUGCCGCGCGACCUGCUGGCGCAGUUCUUCCCCCUCACGGACGCCCUCAACUACGGCGGCCGCGAGCAGCCGCUGUUCGCCGUCCAGGCCACCGACCUCGCCGACGGCGUCUUCAUCGGCUUCGCCUACAACCACGCGCUCUCCGACGGCACUGCGUUCUGGGACUUUGUCAACUACUGGGCGUCCCUCGCGCGCGCCAGGCUCGGCCUCGCCCCGGCGCCCUCGAUGCCGAAGCCCUCGUUCGAGCGCUGGUCGCCCGACGGCGGCGUGGCAGGGCCGGCCGUGCUGCCAUGCGCCGACGUGUCGGAGCUCAUCGAGCGCGCCACGCCGCUGCGGUUGCGCGAGCGAAUGCUGCACUUCUCCGCGGACUCGCUGGCGGCGCUCAAGGAGCGCGCGCGGGACGAGCUCCUGGCCGCCGGCGACGCGGCCGGCGCCGCCGCGCUGACGCGGUUCCAGGCGCUGUCCUCGCUCCUCUGGCGCUGCAUCACCCGCGCGCGGCGGCUGGCGCCGGAGAAGGAGACCGCGUGCCUCGCGGCCAUCAAUAACCGCGCGCGGCUCCGGCCGCAGCUCCCGCAGGAGUACUUCGGCAACACGAUCUACGCGAUCGGGACCGAGCCGGCGCGCGCAGGGGACCUCCUGGCGCGCGCGCACGGCUGGGCGGCGGCGGCUGUUGGGCGGGCCGUCGCGGCGCACACGGACGCGGCCAUCAGGGCGCGCGUGGCGGAGUGGACGACCAAGCCCAUGGUGUACACGCAUCGCUUCUUCGACACGACGGGGACGAUGAUUGGGAGCUCGCCGCGGUUCGACAUGUACGGCUGCGACUUCGGGUGGGGGAGGCCGCUGGCGGCGCGCAGCGGCAGGGCCAACAAGUUCGACGGCAAGACGUCGUUGUACCCCGGCCGGGAGGGUGGUGGCAGCAUCGACGCGGAGCUCACGCUCAUGCCGGAGAACAUGGUGGCGCUCGAGCAGGACGACGAGUUCUGGGCCGGCGUCACCCCGGACGCGCCGGUGCCGACGCCGCACAAGAAGGCUUGA